GGCGGACGGGUGAGUAACACGUGGGCAACCUGCCUGUAAGACUGGGAUAACUUCGGGAAACCGGAGCUAAUACCGGAUAAUCCUUUUCCUCUCAUGAGGAAAAGCUGAAAGACGGUUUCGGCUGUCACUCACAGAUGGGCCCGCGGCGCAUUAGCUAGUUGGUGAGGUAACGGCUCACCAAGGCGACGAUGCGUAGCCGACCUGAGAGGGUGAUCGGCCACACUGGGACUGAGACACGGCCCAGACUCCUACGGGAGGCAGCAGUAGGGAAUCUUCCGCAAUGGACGAAAGUCUGACGGAGCAACGCCGCGUGAGCGAUGAAGGCCUUCGGGUCGUAAAGCUCUGUUGUCAGGGAAGAACAAGUAUCGGAGUAACUGCCGGUACCUUGACGGUACCUGACCAGAAAGCCACGGCUAACUACGUGCCAGCAGCCGCGGUAAUACGUAGGUGGCAAGCGUUGUCCGGAAUUAUUGGGCGUAAAGCGCGCGCAGGCGGUUCCUUAAGUCUGAUGUGAAAGCCCCCGGCUCAACCGGGGAGGGUCAUUGGAAACUGGGGAACUUGAGUGCAGAAGAGGAGAGCGGAAUUCCACGUGUAGCGGUGAAAUGCGUAGAGAUGUGGAGGAACACCAGUGGCGAAGGCGGCUCUCUGGUCUGUAACUGACGCUGAGGCGCGAAAGCGUGGGGAGCGAACAGGAUUAGAUACCCUGGUAGUCCACGCCGUAAACGAUGAGUGCUAAGUGUUAGAGGGUUUCCGCCCUUUAGUGCUGCAGCAAACGCAUUAAGCACUCC
rnacentral:rRNA from 1 species